rnacentral:rRNA from 1 species
GUGGGGAAUUUUGGACAAUGGGGGCAACCCUGAUCCAGCCAUCCCGCGUGUGCGAUGAAGGCCUUCGGGUUGUAAAGCACUUUUGGCAGGGAAGAAAAGUUUCGGGCUAAUACCCUGGAGCGAUGACGGUACCUGCAGAAUAAGCACCGGCUAACUACGUGCCAGCAGCCGCGGUAAUACGUAGGGUGCAAGCGUUAAUCGGAAUUACUGGGCGUAAAGCGUGCGCAGGCGGUUCGGAAAGAAAGAUGUGAAAUCCCAGGGCUUAACCUUGGAACUGCAUUUUAAACUGUCGAACUGGAGUAUGUCAGAGGGGGGUAGAAUUCCACGUGUAGCAGUGAAAUGCGUAGAGAUGUGGAGGAAUACCGAUGGCGAAGGCAGCCCCCUGGGAUAAUACUGACGCUCAUGCACGAAAGCGUGGGGAGCAAACAGGAUUAGAUACCCCGGUAGUCC